GCAGGGCUAGACUUUGUUGGCAGGAGAGACCAGAAUAAAAACAGCAACACCAGACACAGGAGAGAGAGAGAGAAAAAAAGCGCAAUGAUCCAUCGAAACGCAGGCUUUGCCCUUUCUUAAUUACGCUGCAUCCAGUGUCUUUGCAUUCCCCCCCGCCUCCCUUCCUUCCCCCCCUUUUCCGAGACGUUUGUGAAGUGGUAAUUAGCUCUAGGAGAAUAAAACCAGCUGAUUUGGAUCGGGCUGGUGCAUUUUGGGGCGAGAUCGCUAACAGGAUGGUUGCGCUGCUGCUUCUCGGCUCGCUGCUCCUCACUCUGCUGCAGCCUUCCCUACAGGGAGGAGUGUAUGUGCCUGCUGGUACAGGAGUCGGAAUUCCAAGUGGAGGUGUGCCACCUGGUACUGGAGUUUUCCCAGGAGGUGCCGGGGUCCCGUUCAAACCAGCAAAAACUGGAGCAGGUGGAUUUGGGCUGGGUGCAGGAGGCCUUGGCACUGGUGGGCUUGGCGCUGGAGGACUUGGUGCUGGUGGACUUGGUGCUGGAUUAGGUGCAGGAGGUCUUGGUGCAGGAGCUGGAGGAAAGCCGCCUAAACCAGGUUAUGGAAGCUUAGGAGCAGGUGGCCUGGGCACUGGAGGAUUCAGACCUGGAGCUGGCUAUGGUGGAUAUGGUGGUGGAGUUUACCCUGGAGCAGGAGCUGGAGGACUGAAGCCUGCAAAAUCAGGGCCAGGUACUGGAGGGACAGUAUUAGGUCCUGGCACUGGGGGCACCGUACCUGGCAGUGGGCCUGCACUCCCUGGUGGAGCUCCAGUCAUUCCUCAGACUGGUCUCCCAGGUGUGGGUCCUGGUGGGAAAGCUGCAAAACCAGGAAAGGCACCAGUGCCAGGCGUAGGAGUGCCUGGAGCCUUUCAAGGUGGAAUUCUGCCUGGACAAGGGUUUAAUGGACUAGGUGUGCUUCCAGGUGUAGCAACAGGAACUGGACUUAAACCGAAGUCAGGUACUGGUGGUGGGCCAGGCCUGAUGCAACCAGGGGUCUUUCAUGGAUACCCUCUCAAAUCUCCAAAAAACCCAGGCGGAUCCCCUUACACCGGAGGCAAAAUUCCAUAUGGUUAUGGUGGCUUUGGUACUGCUGCAGGAUUGCCUGGUGGCAAAGGAGGAGCUGGCUCUAAGCCAGGCUACCCCACUGGCACUGGUGUGGGGAACUUAGGUGUCUCAGCUGCACAGGCCAAAGCUGCUAAGUAUGGCCCUGGAGCUGGUUCAGCUGGCUUAGGUGGGGUUGGAGGUGUUCCUGGAGCCGGUUUAGGUGGGGCUGGAGGUGUACCAGGAGCUGGUGGACUUUAUCCAGGUGGAGGUGCAGGUGGUCUUUCACCAGCUCAAGCCAAGGCUGCGAAAUAUGGUGCUAGUGCUGGAUUAGGAGGAGCUGGAACCGGUGCUGGUUUAGGUGGUCUUGGUGGUGUAGGUCCUGGAGGAAUUUACCCUGGAACAGGAGGUGCAGGAGGACUCACCCCUGCUCAAGCUAAAGCUGCUAAAUAUGGUGCUGGAGUUGGUUCAUUUUUGGGAGGUGCAGGUGGAGGCCCAGGAGCUGGAGUUUACCCUGGUGUAGGAGGUACAGGAACUGGCUUUGUACCAGGGACUGGAGGAGCUUUUCCUGGAGCUGUUGCAGGAGGUCUUACACCUGCCCAGGCCAAAGCAGCUAAAUAUGGUGGAGCUGGAACUGGCUUGGGUGGUGGUGGUGUACCAGGUGCUGGAGGAGUUUACCCUGGAGCAGGUACAGGAACUGGCUUUGUACCAGGAACUGGAGGAGCUUAUCCUGGAGCAGUUGCAGGAGGUCUUACACCUGCCCAGGCCAAAGCAGCUAAAUAUGGUGGAGCUGGAACUGGCUUGGGUGGUGGUGGUGUACCAGGUGCUGGAGGAGUUUACCCUGGAGCAGGAACUGGCUUUGUACCAGGGACUGGAGGAGCUUAUCCUGGAGCAGUUGCAGGAGGUCUUACACCUGCCCAGGCCAAAGCAGCUAAAUAUGGAACUAUUGUUGGUUUAGGUGGAGCUGGAACUGGCUUGGGUGGUGGUGGUGUACCAGGUGCUGGAGGAGUUUACCCUGGAGCAGGCACAGGGACUGGCUUUGUACCAGGAACUGGAGGAGCUUAUCCUGGAGCAGUUGCAGGAGGUCUUACACCUGCCCAGGCCAAAGCAGCUAAAUAUGGAACCAUUGUUGGUUUAGGUGGAGCUGGAACUGGCUUCGGUGGUGGUGGUGUACCAGGUGCUGGAAGACUUUACCCUGGAGCAGGUAUAGGAACUGGCUUUGUACCAGGAACUGGAGGAGCUUAUUCUGGAGCAGUUGCAGGAGGUCUUACACCUGCCCAGGCCAAAGCAGCUAAAUAUGGAGUUGGAGGUGGUGCUGGUGUACCAGCUGGAACGGGAGGAGUUUUUCCUGGAAUAGGAGGUCUCACACCUGCUCAAGCAAAAGCAGCUGCUAAAUAUGGUGCUGGAACUGGUACUAGACUGGGUGGUCUUGGUGGAGUACCAGGAUUAGGAGGCCAAGGUGCAGGGUAUGCUGCUGCAAAAGCUGCAAAAUAUGGUGUGCCAGGAGGUGUACCAGGCGGUGUACCAGGUGGUGUGCCAGGUGGUGUACCAGGAGGAUAUCCUGCUGGUGCUAAAGCACUGAAAUAUCGUGUUCCAGGUGGUGUUCCAGGUGGUGUUCCAGGUGGUGUUCCAGGUGGUGUUCCAGGUGGUGUUCCAGGUGGUGUUCCAGGAGGUGUUCCAGGAGGUGUGCCAGGUGGUGUGCCAGGUGGUGUGCCAGGUGGUGUGCCAGGUGGUGUGCCAGCUGGUGUGCCAGGAGGAUAUCCUGCUGGUGCUAAGGCACUGAAAUAUGGUCCUGGUGCCGCUGGUUAUGGAGUUCCUGGUGGAUUUGUGCAACCUGGAGGGGCUGGUACCGUGCAAGGAGUUGUUGGAGGAACGGGUGGAAUCCCAGGAACGUCCACAGGAGCUGGAACAUAUCCUGGUGGAGUUAAGCCUCCUAAAUAUGGAGUUGUAGGAGGUACAGGGACUGUACCAGGAGCAGGGGGAGUACCAUUGCCUGGAACAGGAACUGGAAUUGGAGUAUAUCCUGGUGGAGUUAAGCCUCCUAAAUAUGGUACGGGAACUGUACUAGGAACAGGAGUAGCACCAUUGCCUGGAACUGGGACUGGAGGAGUACCGUUGCCUGGAACUGGAGGAUAUCCUGGUGGAGUCAAACCUCCUAAACCUGGUGUACCAAGCACUGGCAUUACUGGAACAGGUAUUGUGGAACCUGCAGCUACACCUGGUGUGGGUGUUUUGCCAGAUGGAACUGGACUUAUUUCUCCAGGUGGCACGGGUUUGCCUGUGAAACCAGCAAAGAGCCCAACUCUGCCCCCUGGUGGAACUCUUGGUCCAGGACCGACGACUAGUGUUGAAACUGGCAAGGCCCCUAAGCCCACUGGAGUUCAGCCUGGUACUCUUAUUAAACCUCCAAAGACUGGUGGUGCAGGUCCAAUCCCAUAUGGUGGCUAUGGUCCUUAUGGCGGCAGCGCUACAUUAGGAACCGGAGUUCUUCCAGGAGCAAAGCCAAUUACAGCACCAGGUGUGAGAUAUCCUACUGGUAUUGGCCUUGGACCAGGUGGAGCUGGUGUUAAACCAGCCAAACCAGGCUAUGGCUCAUUGGCCACUGGAUAUCAACAAGGUGCCAUCGCUCCAGGAACUUAUGGAGGCUAUCCACAGGCUUAUCCAGGAGGAUAUGGUCCCGGGCUGACACCUCAACAAGCUAAAGCUGCCAAAUAUGGAACCCUUCAGGGAUUCCUGGGUGGAGGCUACAGAGAUGGAUAGUAACUAGUGAGAAUCACCUGGAUACUGCCCUGUGUAUAUGCACACAUGCUGACAGGCUUGACCUCACUGAUGUGAUGAAUCCCAAGCAAGUUGGGUGUAGCCAUAUGCCUGCCAUUGAAGAUUGUGUCAUGUCAGUUGUGGUCUCAACAGAUAAAACACUAUGACCAGGGCUGUGGUGCCCAAGUGAUGAAUACAGGCAUAAACUAGCAGAGGCGCAGGGUGCCAAGGCAAAUACUGUGGCAGGAGGAGAAAGUAAACACUCUCUUGGGACAUGAAAUGACCUCAAGAAACAAUGGUGCUACUGCAUGAUCUAGAAUGUACAUUUGAUAUGCAAAAACAAUCCUAUCAUGUACAAAAAUAUAUAUAUUUUUUGUUUGUUUGUUUUUUUUUUUUUUUUUACAAACCCAAAGAGAAGCUAAGGAAAGCGGGUGAACAUUCCAGCUGUUCAUGUGACGCAUUCCACUAUGUUGCUGAUGUUUCUUUUUUUAUAGAUAGGGACACCAGAUCAAGUAACUAAUAACCAGGUUCAUAAUUUGUCAUUGUAGACCUUGAGGCACUCAUUUCUUUUCUUUUUUUCUCAAGAUUUUGAAAGACAGAAGCCAUGAGAUUUCCUUUCUGAUAGUGGUGGCAAUGGUUGACAGACCUUGUGUAGCAGAAUUGAUUUAUAAUUUUGCAUUAGAUAUCUAAUGCACUUUAUUCGUGUUUGUUCAUAUUUAUAGGUGAUGGCCUUUUGUGCCUAAAUUUGAAAAAAUGGUUUAUCAAGUACCUCUGUGGAGACCCCUGUGCUCCAAACAAGUCAGAAAUAUUCUAACAACAUGUCAGUGGUAGUAUUUUUUUUAUACUCCUGAUAGGUCGUUCCAAACUUUUCAAAAUAAUACUGGAUAUUCUUCUAUUGGCUUUAGGAUUGUGAAACUAUUUCAAUCAUAAUUCCAUCCAGUGGUCAUGAAGAAUCCUACAGAAUGUGACUCUGGGGACAUGUAUCCUCGUAUUUCCUCUAUACUGUUUACAGUAAAUCAUAGUCCUGAUCUAAACACAGGUCAAAAUCUUAAUGAAUUCUGGGUACAAAAACAUCAGCAGUUGUGAACCAUGGUGGAUAUGAUUGAGGCUGUAUUGUGCAUAUUUUAUCUCAGCUAUGAAACAGUUCUGCAAAAGACCUAGUGGCAUCCAAAAAGUGAUGAAAACUGUUUAAAAGUGUUUCGUGGCAUCUGAUAAGCUCCACUGUAUCCAUUCUUGCUAAUUGUGUUAUAUAUGAUGAGCUGACUUGAUAAGAUUAUGUUGCUAAGAUGAAAAGUGAAAAACAUAUGCAUUGUUAUCAAUUAACAAAAAGGCAAUUUACUAAAAGAGAAAUAAUAGUGCUGAUUUUACAAUAGACUAGUUUUGUACCUGAAACAAAUGACACUUCUAACAUUCCUUAAACAUGCGGAGUUGGUGCUUCCAUCACUUGAUCUACAGACGUUUAACCCCUUUAUAUUAAAAGAAUUAGCUAUUAUAUAUCGUAUGCAUACAGUAUGAUGGCUCAUGUAACUGCAGGUUAAUCUGCUUUGUUGCUGUUUUGUUUGCACCAUGUGAACUUGACCUUGACAUUAUUACCGAGUUUGUACACAUGAUAACAAAAUAUUGUUUUCUGUUUUGUUUUGCUUUUAGUAGCUUAUGCAUUUUAGUCACUGUGGAAAUCUGUAAUACUGUAUAAGAUUUUUAAAAUAUGUGAGCUGUGUGUCUGAAAGUUAAAGUGUGUGUGUGUGUGUGUGUGUGUGUGUGUGUGUGUGUGUGUUUGUGUGUGUGUUUGUAUGUGUAUCUGUGAUAAUCCCUGGUGUGUGUCUAAAUUUUGUUUAAUUGACUAAGCUUCUCUUAAUAAGCGUCAUUAGCCAGUGUAUUACCCAUCUAAUAUUAAAUUAGUUCUUCUUAAUGAUUAAUAUUUCAUGUCAUUGGUAACAUGUACUGUUUCAUCUUCAUUCAAAAUGUGUUUUUUCUUACCUGGUGCUGUAUUUGACCUGUCUGUGGUCAUAUAUGUCUAAUGUGCCGUGGCAUUUCCAUCUAAUUUAAAUAAAGGGGUGGGGCUAUUGCACUUUUUCCCACGGCGCACAUUUGACUUGUUCCAGGAAAUCUGGGCCUUUUUACUGCUUUAGUGAAAAUUAAAUAAACCGUUCUGAAAUGGAAAAGAAAA